GUAUUUUAUUUAAAUUUUCAAUUUUGGGUUAGCAAUAUAAUCCCCAAAAAUUGUUUUUGAGACGAAAAUGAUGGACUUACUUCACGUUCACUACUCAAAAUCAAAGUAAAUAUUUUUUAAAAGAUUUUCUAAAGGUAAUUGUCAAAAAAUAAUUGAACUAAUGAUUUAAACGGAUAAAUUUGCCCUUCAAAAAUAAAGUAUCAACUUCAGUUCAUUUUUGUACAAGAUUAUGUAGUAUCAUUUAUACAAGUCAAAGAUUCGAGUCUGCCAGUAGAAAAUGCUAUGGAAAAGUUGAUGGUAAUGUAUGUAAAAUAGUUUUAACAUUGAUGAUUUCUUUGUUAACAUCUCGAUACAAGGAUGUAGUUGCCCUCAUCGAAAUUGAUAAGUUGUCAGCAUCUUAUCAAUAUGACAUCAUUAUUAAAACUUUAAAAAUGUUGGAUGAUUUUAACAUCUAUGUGAUAAGCAUGCCAUUUGACAAUCAUCCAAUUAACAGAAAAAUGCUUGCUGAUUAUAUGUGUAAUGAAUGUCUUUCGAGUUCAAUAUGGAAAUCCAAUAAACUCCCAACAAAACUAUAUCAUUUUUUCGAUAUGGUACAUAAUUUUAAAAAUUGUGUGUAAAUACUCUACUCACUCAAAGAUACAAUGGUCAAUUAUUGAAUGAGGUGGGAACUUGGGAUCGAUACUUGCGACUAUAUUUUGAAUACGAUCUCACAAUCAAAGACUCGAUACUUGACUAGUACUCCAUACCUUAUAUAUUGCGGAUUCAGGAAAAGCCUUAACAGUAUGGACCCGAUAUUAUAGUAAUGGACUUGAGACGAGCUUGAAUGACAUCUGAGGACGUGAAAUAUGAAAAUAUUCAAGGACUUGGACAUGACUUGAGAUCCGACAUGGACUUGGAGUAUAAGGACGUUUUUAGAAAGGAUUAGAAAUCUACUAUAAUUCGAUUGUGGACUCAUUAUAUUUUUGAAUACGGACUUUGAAGACAACCUAUCGGAUAAAAAAUCCUCCUUUUCUACAUAUCUUCGCAUAUAAAAAGAAUCAAACUAAAAAAUAUAUAGUUGUAUCAAUCUUUGUACCCGAAACACACUCCUUAAUCUUGCAAAAGGUAAAAUACGAAUUGUGCAUCUUCUGAAUCAAAACGCAGUAAAUAAUUGAAAUGAUUAAAUGAACUAAUAGAUGCGUUUAACUCCUCCAAUCAACUCAACAUUUUAUCAUAUACCAUACCCAAUUAAAGUUGUUUUUAGAACAAGAGCUUACUUUUUAUCCUUAUCAGUCAUUACAUGCUUCAAGUGUCAAAGUGUGUGUAUAUUGUGAAGUCAAAUAGGGUUAAGAUUGUUGAUUGUUGGCCAGGAAGACUAUAAUGUGGAACCAAAAGAGAUGAUUACGGAAAUUGAUUUCUUCUUAUGUCUGGUAUACCAUUAAGUUAAAAUUUACGAAUUUUGCUCUCUUUGCUAUGAAUAAGAAUAGAGGGAAAUACUAAUAUAUACAAUGGACCUUAUUUAUAAGUGUUAUAUGUGUAGUAAAUUUAUAUAAUGAUUUUUAAAUUGAUUGAACUAAUAGCUUAAAACGUCUAAUUUCAUAGUUACAAGCUAUGGUCUCCCCUGUUAAUGAAAAUAGGGAACACAAGAGACAUAGUCAUUCUGGAGCAAAUAGAAGAGUGAAUAAAUUGUCAAAUGUAUCUUGAAUUCAUUGUAUAUGUUUAAAUCCAAAAAAAUAUUGCAUUUAUUAUUAUAUUUAUAUCUAUAAUAUUGAAUUAAGUAAAUGUGCAUUUCAUUUCUGUA
rnacentral:lncRNA from 1 species